GUUUGUUCAACUCGUUUCGUGAAACAGGCCUCUGAUGUCCCAAUUUAUCUUGAAUGUAAUGAAAUGCUGCAAUUAUACACACAUCACUAAUACAGACGUCAACUGUACAUUGACAACAGCGUAUGGGACGACAGGAGACCUGGACGCGAUUGUCAGCUCCCUUUACCUUCAGAGAAACCUACUCCCCUUUUCGCCAGGUGAUACAGUACUAGAAAAGCCGCCUUUGGACCUCCCACAACGGUGAUAGCAGUCACUCGCACGGCCGUACUCAUAUCAUUAUAUGUCUAGUAUCUGGGCAGCGUCCUUUUCUCCCUCCUUCCUUCCAGGACACAGGCCUGGACCUAAACACAAGCUAUCAAAUAGCUCACCUUUCAGCAGAUCUGUCUCUGCUAGGUGAAGCCCUCGCUGCUGACCCUUACGGUACCGGAUAACACCUGCCACGGUUUCCAUGGAUGUUUCUACUCAUACAGAGACACCCUCUGUUUUAUUUCCUGGGAAUCCUUCUGAUGAAGACAUGGCUAUCUCUGGGGUUGACCUUGGCUUUAGACCUGCUUCCGGUUCUCUCAGCCCCACACCAUACUCACCCAGCAGCUCAGAGUAUUCUCACUGCUCUCCGUAUCCUACAUUCCUGUAUCCUGCUACGAAUUAUUCUCCCACGAGCCCUGUGACCUGACCUAUGUUAUCCUCCAUCUGCAAUAAACCCCCGUAUUUUCCCA